rnacentral:rRNA from 1 species
GACGAACGCUGGCGGCGCGCUUAACACAUGCAAGUCGAACGGAAAGGCCUGCUUUCCCUUGUGGAUUGCGGGUACUCGAGUGGCGAACGGGUGAGUAACACGUGAGUGAUCUGCCCCCAACUUGGGUAUAAGCCUGGGAAACUGGGUCUAAUUCCCGAUAGGACUGCAGGGUGGUGCCUGUGGUGGAAAACGAUUUUCUAGUGGUUGGGGAUGAGCUCGCGGCCUAUCAGCUUGUUGGUGGGGUAAUGGCCUACCAAGGCGGCGACGGGUAGCCGGCCUGAGAGGGUGGACGGCGACAUUGAGACUGAGCUACGGCCCAGACUCCUACGGAAGGCAGCAGUGGGGAAUAUUGGACGAUGGGCGGAAGCCUGAAGCAGCGACGCAGGGUGGGGGAUGACGGCCUUCGUGUUGUAAACUCCUUUCGACCGCGAGGAAGCCACCUGGUUGGAAGGGUGGUGACGGUAGUGGUAGAAGAAGCACCGGCUAACUACGUG